rnacentral:rRNA from 1 species
CUGUUUAUCAAAAACAUGGCUCUCUGUAUAUUGAAGAUAGAGAGUCGGACCUGCCCGGUGAAUUUUUUAACGGCCGCGGUACUCUGACCGUGCAAAGGUAGCAUAAUCAUUUGCCUUAUAAUUGAAGGCUAGAAUGAAUGGUUUGACAAGAAUACAACUGUCUCUUUACAAUUACAUAAAAUUUUAUCUGCAGUUGAAGAAGCCUGCAUUUGAAUAAAAGACAAGAAGACCCUAUCGAGCUUAAAAAAAACUGGUGGAAUAACAAACUUAAUCCUAACUUAUAAAUAAAUAAAUAGUCAACUACUGGAAAUUUUGGUUGGGGCGACCGGGGAACAAAAAAAACUUCCUUUAUAAAAAUUUAGAUGCCCAAAUAUUGAUCCAGCAUUAUAUGAUUAAAGAAAUUAGUUACCGUAGGGAUAACAGCAUUAUCUUUUUUAAGAGUUCUUAUCGAAAAAAAGGUUUGUGACCUCGAUGUUGGACCAGAAUAUCCUAAAGAUGCAGCCGUCUUUAAGGGUUGGUCUGUUCGACCAUUAAAAUUCUACGUGAUCUGAGUUCAGACCGG